GGCUGGGCCACUCCAGAGCGUGGGUCAUUACCAAGUCGUACAAGAAGGGCGUGUUCUUUUUCCAUAUUUUAUACUCCUCGUUGAUCACGCGUUCUUCGACUGCGUCAUCAAAGGCUUCCUUGUCCGCCAUGGCGGGGAGGGGGAACGGGGCGGUGGAACGGGGCUGGGCUGCGCGAGGCGGGCGGCCGGUGCUCCGCUCUUCUCCGGCCACGGCUCUAUUGUUUCCUGCCCCCGCUGCGUGCCGCUCCGGCGCCGCGCACCCCUUCGCGCG
rnacentral:lncRNA from 1 species